CCUACGGGUGGCAGCAGUGGGGAAUAUUGCACAAUGGGGGAAACCCUGAUGCAGCGACGCCGCGUGAGUGAAGAAGUAUUUCUGUAUGUAAAGCUCUAUCAGUAGGGAAGAAAAUGACGGUACCUGAUUAAGAAGCCACGUCUAACUACGUGCCAGCAGCCGCGGUAAUAUGCAGGGUGCAAGCGUUAUCCGGAUUUACUGGGUGUAAAGGGAGCGUAGACGGCAGCACAAGUCUGGAGUGAAAUGCCGGGGCUUAACCCCGGAACUGCUUUGGAGACUGUGCAGCUAGAGUGCAGGAGAGGUAAGUGGAAUGCCUGGUGUAGCGGUGAAAUGCGUAGAUAUUAGGAGGAACACCAGUGGCGAAGGCGGCUUACUGGACUAUAACUGACGUUGAGGCACGAAAGCGUGGGGAGCAAACAGGAUUAGAUACCCGGGUAGUC
rnacentral:rRNA from 1 species